rnacentral:rRNA from 1 species
UGGGGAAUCUUGCACAAUGGGGGCAACCCUGAUGCAGCGACGCCGCGUGAGCGAUGAAGGUUUUCGAAUCGUAAAGCUCUGUCCUAUGGGAAGAUAAUGACGGUACCAUAGGAGGAAGCCCCGGCUAACUACGUGCCAGCAGCCGCGGUAAUACGUAGGGGGCUAGCGUUGUCCGGAAUCACUGGGCGUAAAGGGUUCGCAGGCGGAAAUGCAAGUCAGGUGUUAAAGGCAGUAGCUUAACUACUGUAAGCAUUUGAAACUGCAUAUCUUGAGAAGAGUAGAGGUAAGUGGAAUUUUUAGUGUAGCGAUGAAAUGCGUAAAUAUUAAAAAGAAUACCGGUGGCGAAGGCGACUUACUGGGCUCAUUCUGACGCUGAAGAACGAAAGCGUGGGUAGCUAACAGG